GUUGGUGAGGUAAUGGCUCACCAAGGCGACGAUCCCUAGCUGGUCUGAGAGGAUGACCAGCCACACUGGAACUGAGACACGGUCCAGACUCCUACGGGAGGCAGCAGUGGGGAAUAUUGCACAAUGGGCGCAAGCCUGAUGCAGCCAUGCCGCGUGUAUGAAGAAGGCCUUCGGGUUGUAAAGUACUUUCAGCGGGGAGGAAGGUGUUGCGGUUAAUAACCGCAGCAAUUGACGUUACCCGCAGAAGAAGCACCGGCUAACUCCGUGCCAGCAGCCGCGGUAAUACGGAGGGUGCAAGCGUUAAUCGGAAUUACUGGGCGUAAAGCGCACGCAGGCGGUCUGUCAAGUCGGAUGUGAAAUCCCCGGGCUCAACCUGGGAACUGCAUUCGAAACUGGCAGGCUUGAGUCUUGUAGAGGGGGGUAGAAUUCCAGGUGUAGCGGUGAAAUGCGUAGAGAUCUGGAGGAAUACCGGUGGCGAAGGCGGCCCCCUGGACAAAGACUGACGCUCAGGUGCGAAAGCGUGGGGAGCAAACAGGAUUAGAUACCCUGGUAGUCCACGCCGUAAACGAUGUCUACUUGGAGGUUGUGCCCUUGAGGCGUGGCUUCCGGAGCUAACGCGUUAAGUAGACCGCCUGGGGAGUACGGCCGCAAGGUUAAAACUCAAAUGAAUUGACGGGGGCCCGCACAAGCGGUGGAGCAUGUGGUUUAAUUCGAUGCAACGCGAAGAACCUUACCUGGUCUUGACAUCCACAGAACUUUCCAGAGAUGGAUUGGUGCCUUCGGGAACUGUGAGACAGGUGCUGCAUGGCUGUCGUCAGCUCGUGUUGUGAAAUGUUGGGUUAAGUCCCGCAACGAGCGCAACCCUUAUCCUUUGUUGCCAGCGGUCCGGCCGGGAACUCAAAGGAGACUGCCAGUGAUAAACUGGAGGAAGGUGGGGAUGACGUCAAGUCAUCAUGGCCCUUACGACCAGGGCUACACACGUGCUACAAUGGCGCAUACAAAGAGAAGCGACCUCGCGAGAGCAAGCGGACCUCAUAAAGUGCGUCGUAGUCCGGAUUGGAGUCUGCAACUCGACUCCAUGAAGUCGGAAUCGCUAGUAAUCGUGGAUCAGAAUGCCACGGUGAAUACGUUCCCGGGCCUUGUACACACCGCCCGUCACACCAUGGGAGUGGGUUGCAAAAGAAGUAGGUAGCUUAACCUUCGGGAGGGCGCUUACCACUUUGUGAUUCAUGACUGGGGUGAAGUCGUAACAAGGUAACCGUAGGGGAACCUGCGGUUGGAUCACCUCCUUACCUGAAAGAA
rnacentral:rRNA from 1 species